ensembl:piRNA 21ur-731 ncRNA
UGUCUGAUUGCCUAGAUUUAC